GAUGAACGCUGGCGGCGUGCCUAAUACAUGCAAGUCGAGCGAACAGACGAGGAGCUUGCUCCUUUGACGUUAGCGGCGGACGGGUGAGUAACACGUAGGUAACCUACCUAUAAGACUGGGAUAACUUCGGGAAACCGGAGCUAAUACCGGAUAAUAUUUCGAACCGCAUGGUUCGAUAGUGAAAGAUGGCUUUGCUAUCACUUAUAGAUGGACCUGCGCCGUAUUAGCUAGUUGGUAAGGUAACGGCUUACCAAGGCAACGAUACGUAGCCGACCUGAGAGGGUGAUCGGCCACACUGGAACUGAGACACGGUCCAGACUCCUACGGGAGGCAGCAGUAGGGAAUCUUCCGCAAUGGGCGAAAGCCUGACGGAGCAACGCCGCGUGAGUGAUGAAGGUCUUCGGAUCGUAAAACUCUGUUAUUAGGGAAGAACAAACGUGUAAGUAACUAUGCACGUCUUGACGGUACCUAAUCAGAAAGCCACGGCUAACUACGUG
rnacentral:rRNA from 1 species